rnacentral:misc_RNA from 1 species
ACUGUAGUCUGAAGAGCUUUUUUCGGGGCAGGGUUUUAUGGCGCCUUGCAAUUUGUAAACUGACCAGACCAAACAAGCCGGAUUCAUUCAAUUAAGACAGUUUGUCCAUUUAGAUUUAUUUCUAUUUUUUCACAUGUACAUGUGAAUUCAAUAUAGUGAUGAAUAUGCUGUGAAACGGGCGGUUACAAGAGUACUAACUGGAGUAAUGGAAUAACACAGAGAACUAAGGAUGAUAAAUAUGAACACACAGAAAAGGGUUUCUUUUGGAAGUAAAGGGUCAAUGGUGGAAACCUGGAUUAUUGAAGACUUUCCGGAACAUCACACGGAAUCUGAGGACAACUUCUUCAAGAAUUUGGUCAACAGUGCAGACAUUAAGGAACCUUCACCAAAAUUCCAGGAGUAUGUACGUAUAUGUGACCUUGACGAUCUAGUGGAUGAUAUACAGAUCAAGAAAACAUCCCAACCAAGCCACGAAAAGGCUCGGAACAAUAAAGUGACAUUCUGUGAUACUCCCAAUGAAAUUGCUUCCGCAUCACCAGCGCCGCCUAGCGAGCCAGCCUCCACAGGGACUACAGAAAUAGUUGUCCUCUCUGACUCCCCCCUCGGAAUCUGGCCUGUCAAAGCGCUCGGCCAGCUUGGAGAGCAGGGAUAACCCUUUCAAACCAGACGGCGAAUUGUGUAAAGAGGCAGAAGACAUUUUAAAACGAGCUACAAUAAUUCGUGAUAAGUUCAUACUGAACGAAAAUCGAGAAAAGGGUGCUUCAAAGACUAGUCUGAAAGACACUGCGAAUGGGGACUCGCCUCUACAGGCGGUGCAGGAGGAAAAUAUAUCUCAGACUACUGUGAACCAAUCCAAGUCUUCGCCGGUCAGUAUUCAGCCCAAGCAAAACGGAGUGGAGGACAAAAAAGUUUCGCCUGAUUCUGUUAGAGUGGAUGUUGUGGAUUCACAUGCCAUUAAUGACGUCAGUUUUAAAGACAAGAAGAAACAGAAGAAGUGUUGUAGUGUUAUGUAGCACAAUGAGUGUCUUAGUGUUUUUAAAAUAGCGGGAAUAUAGUGCAAUGUGGGCUAACAGCCACUCCGGGGUGUAUUCAGGAUUCGUCCAAAACUUAGCUGUACACGCCAUGUAACAGUACCUAUCAUUGGAUGUUGCCCAUGUAUCGAAAUAUGUCAUUGGUUGUUGCCAUUUUCAGCAUUCAAACUUGCUUUCUGUGUUAAUAGGGUUCAAUGCAGACGACACCAGUGUAAUAAACAUCUGGAUGUCAGUUAACUUAAUUCUUGGAUAGGAUAGUAAUCCAAUGUUCUUCGAUGUGAAAUCCACUUAACGAAUAUCAAUUUGUUUGAAUUCCCUUACAAAGAACGAAUAUGACAGUGUGUUCUGUGAAAGGUUGGUUCUGUUGGUCGAAAGCCUUGCCGUAAAGCUACAUCAUCGCUGAAAGGUCGUAGAGAUCCGUACGCAUCCCAACACAAAGGAAUUUCAAUUGUCAGCAAGGCUUAUAUGUUAUCUUGUCUAUUAUGACCAGAUCUCGCGAUAUUUCUCGCGCCUUCUCCUACUUUACUGAUGGUGGGUUGAGUAUGCCAUACCCCUCUUCCUCUAGCCUUCAUAAUUUACCGAUGUUAAUUAUUAUUUGAUUUCGUGUACAGACUUUACUCUCAUAAACAUUGUUAUCUAUACAUAUUUAACUAGGGUAUACACUAUUUAUGGAGAAGAAAUGUCAAUAUUUUGUGAUGAAAAUUGCUGCUCUUGUGUUCCGGAGAUCUCUUGAGAUAAGAUUUCAAUUUUUAAAUUGACUAUUAUUCACGAAAAUGGACUGAUGUGAUGACGCUUUGGUGUUUUGUAGAGACUUGUUCGAAAUUAGUUAUGCUCAUAGGAAAUCAAGAAUAUUUUAGUGACACUUUUGGUAUGCGAGAUACAACAGUAAUGUGACAGAGCUGCUACAGAAAUAAUACAGAAUUAUCUGAAAGAGCUGCGAUAUUCUGAGAUUCUGCAUAUGGAACAAAUUAUUGGAGAGGCAUUGUUACGGUUUCUACUAGAAAUUUCGUGCCUUCUAUCUUUACCACCUUGAUUUGAGCACAAGAAUCUCACAUCACAUACAAAUUGUGAAUGUGUUACUGUACUUACACACGCUCGUGAAUUAGGCGUGUUCUUCAUCUACGAUUAUGUCAAGAUAUUUAUGACUAGUGCUGUAUGAACAAGUAUGGAGUUCCUAGCCGAAUGUGGUUUGAGUUUCAGGACACUGACCUACAAUUCAUAGAGCAAACAAUUUCAGUUCAUAAUUGUUUAAGAAAAUUUUUUUUAAAGAACAAAACAUUAAACACAUGAUGAAAAAC